rnacentral:rRNA from 1 species
AGCCAUGCGAGUCAUCCUAGUAAUACAAGGCAGACGGCUCAGUAACGCGUAGUCAACCUAACCUAUGGACGGGAAUAACCUCGGGAAACUGAGUAUAAUACCCGAUAGAACAUUAUGCCUGGAAUGGUUUAUGUUCCAAACGAUUUAUUGCCGUAGGAUGGGACUGCGGCCUAUCAGUUUGUUGGUGAGGUAAUGGCCCACCAAGACUAUUACAGGUACGGGCUCUGAGAGGAGUGGCCCGGAGAUGGGUACUGAGACACGGACCCAGGCCCUAUGGGGCGCAGCAGGCGAGAAAACUUUGCAAUGUGCGAAAGCACGACAAGGUUAAUCCGAGUGGUUUCUGCUAAAGGAACCUUUUGUCGGUCCUAGAAACACUGUUGAAUAAGGGGUGGGCAAGUUCUGGUGUCAGCCGCCGCGGUAAAACCAGCACCUCAAGUGGUCAGGAUGAUUAUUGGGCCUAAAGCAUCCGUAGCCGGCUCUAUAAGUUUUCGGUUAAAUCUGUACGCUCAACGUACAGGCUGCCGGGAAUACUGCAGAGCUAGGGAGUGGGGAGAGGUAGACGGUACUCGGUAGGAAGGGGUAAAAUCCUUUUGAUCCUAUUGAUGGACCACCUGUGGCGAAGGCGGUCUACCAGAAACACGUCCCGAACGGUGAGGGAUGAAAGCCUGGGGGAGCAAACCGGGAUUAGAUACCCCGGGUAGUCCCAGCUGUAAACUAUGCAAACUUCAGUGAUGCAUUGGCUUGUGGCCUAAUGCAGUGCUGCAAGGGAAGCCCGUUAAGUUUGCCGCCUGGGAAGUACGUACGCAAGUAUGAAACUUAAAGGAAUUGGCGGGG